rnacentral:rRNA from 1 species
AUGGCACGCCGGACCAACCACACCGCCUCGCCCCCCAUGAACGCCACGUCUCCGCCUCCGCCGAGGCCGCUGCCCCACGCCACGGGCGACGCCUGGGGCCCCUACUCCAGCUCCCGGGCAUUCUUCUCCAACGUGGCCACCAUCCUCAUCAUCCUCGCCUGCGUCUCCCUCCUCGCCUUCUCCCUCCACGCCGCCGCUCGCUUCCUCCUCCGCCGCCUCGCCCGCCGCCGCGCCGCGCGCGCGCGCGCGCGGGCGCGGGCGCAGGCGCAGGGGCAGCCACAGCCGCCGAAGCCUCCGUCCGACGCCGCGGCCGCCGAAUUCUCUGUGGAGGCCGGGGCAGGGGCGGGCGUCCAGUUGGCCGGCGGGUGGGGCGACGCGGAGUGCGCCAUCUGCCUGUCGGAGCUGGCGGACGGCGAGCGCGUCCGCGUGCUCCCGGCGUGCGGCCACGGCUUCCACGGGGCCUGCGUGGACGGGUGGCUCGCGGCGCGCGCGUCCUGCCCCACCUGCCGCGCGCCGUCCCGGCUGUCGCGGGCCGGAGAGCCCUAG